rnacentral:rRNA from 1 species
CGGAGCUUGCUCCACCGGAAAAAGAAGAGUGGCGAACGGGUGAGUAACACGUGGGUAACCUGCCCAUCAGAAGGGGAUAACACUUGGAAACAGGUGCUAAUACCGUAUAACAAUCGAAACCGCAUGGUUUUGAUUUGAAAGGCGCUUUCGGGUGUCGCUGAUGGAUGGACCCGCGGUGCAUUAGCUAGUUGGUGAGGUAACGGCUCACCAAGGCCACGAUGCAUAGCCGACCUGAGAGGGUGAUCGGCCACAUUGGGACUGAGACACGGCCCAAACUCCUACGGGAGGCAGCAGUAGGGAAUCUUCGGCAAUGGACGAAAGUCUGACCGAGCAACGCCGCGUGAGUGAAGAAGGUUUUCGGAUCGUAAAACUCUGUUGUUAGAGAAGAACAAGGAUGAGAGUAACUGUUCAUCCCUUGACGGUAUCUAACCAGAAAGCCACGGCUAACUACGUGCCAGCAGCCGCGGUAAUACGUAGGUGGCAAGCGUUGUCCGGAUUUAUUGGGCGUAAAGCGAGCGCAGGCGGUUUCUUAAGUCUGAUGUGAAAGCCCCCGGCUCAACCGGGGAGGGUCAUUGGAAACUGGGAGACUUGAGUGCAGAAGAGGAGAGUGGAAUUCCAUGUGUAGCGGUGAAAUGCGUAGAUAUAUGGAGGAACACCAGUGGCGAAGGCGGCUCUCUGGUCUGUAACUGACGCUGAGGCUCGAAAGCGUGGGGAGCAAACAGGAUUAGAUACCCUGGUAGUCCACGCCGUAAACGAUGAGUGCUAAGUGUUGGAGGGUUUCCGCCCUUCAGUGCUGCAGCUAACGCAUUAAGCACUCCGCCUGGGGAGUACGACCGCAAGGUUGAAACUCAAAGGAAUUGACGGGGGCCCGCACAAGCGGUGGAGCAUGUGGUUUAAUUCGAAGCAACGCGAAGAACCUUACCAGGUCUUGACAUCCUUUGACCACUCUAGAGAUAGAGCUUCCCCUUCGGGGGCAAAGUGACAGGUGGUGCAUGGUUGUCGUCAGCUCGUGUCGUGAGAUGUUGGGUUAAGUCCCGCAACGAGCGCAACCCUUAUUGUUAGUUGCCAUCAUUCAGUUGGGCACUCUAGCAAGACUGCCGGUGACAAACCGGAGGAAGGUGGGGAUGACGUCAAAUCAUCAUGCCCCUUAUGACCUGGGCUACACACGUGCUACAAUGGGAAGUACAACGAGUUGCAAAGUCGCGAGGCUAAGCUAAUCUCUUAAAGCUUCUCUCAGUUCGGAUUGCAGGCUGCAACUCGCCUGCAUGAAG